CCCAUAGAUGUUCCUAUAAUUGCACGUCUAAGUUAGUUUCAACAGUGAAAUGACACGAACAGGAUAAAUCUAUAAUUCGUUUUUUAAUCUGCGCCCGGGCAUCUUCUAGCGGGAAAUGAAGAGUAAACUGGAAUAAUAAGGCCGGCAACAAUCUAAGAAACACGAUGAACAAAACGAUUGACUAAAAUUAGACACUCAAAUUUCUAAACAAAAACCUUUGUACUUUCGCAACUAAAUUCACGAAUAAUGCAAAAUCGUUUACAACAGGUGAUUUUCAAUGCGGUCGAAUUUUCUAUACAAAUUAAUAAUUCUUUAUCACAUUUGUAAUUUCUUUACAGUAGAAUUUGAAUACUUCAAAACAUAAUAAAUAUAAAAUUUGAAUAAAGGGUAAGAAAACGAAUGUAAGAUGUGAAACCCCGGAUGACAUGAAUCGGUAAAGAUACACCAUCAGAGGGUUGAAAACAAAGCGCUCCUUUAAACCGCUUGUUCGAGCUUCAAGGUUGUGCGAUAAAAUCGAAACGAGUACCUAAUUAUACAUGUACACCUUUCAAUUGUUCACGUAUGUAUAUUACAGCACUUCUCGAAGCACCGACGACGUCUAACUUUAUAGUCCGGGUUCGAAGCAUCAGGUUGUAGUCACGUUCUCUCCCUCACCCCCUCCCCCGCUCUAUCAAACCUGCGUGGUGCCUCAUAGCGACGCUUCGAGGACGACAAGAAACGCGUGUCUUGUUCGGCUUACCUGGGCGUGACACCUUUUCCUCGUGGUUCCCUCGCCCUCUCUACGACUCUAAUACAUCCUGACUGAACCGACUCUACGAUUCGACGCGCGGUUCGACUCGAUCGAUCUUUCGAAACUACGAUUGUUCAACAUGGAACAGCGCCCGUUAGAUCAUUUCCCUACUGUGCACGUCCAGUUGUGCCGCAACGGUGCCACUGACUGGAGUAUUCUUCCACGAAGAACGGUGAAAGAGAGGAGGGCAUGCGUUGAUUCUGGAAUCGAUUGCAACGCGCACAUGCCGGCUGCCAGGCGACGAAGGAUGCGAAUAGCGAUGGGACCAAUACCCUCGUGAUACACCUGGACCUUGAAAACACUUUGCCAGCAACUAAUCUGAAAUGCGAGUCCAAAAUUAUUACGUGCCGCAUGUUUUGAAUCGAUUGAAAUUUCAAAUGGAUGUAGGACAACAAUAGAAAGAUAUGAAAGCAGCUUCCCUAGCAUCUGUGCUUGAGUACUACGUCAAUGUAUUGUUUUCUUCAGAGACUUCAUCAAUAAGGUAGCCCGGAUGUGGUCUUCGCCGAUUUCAAUGAAACUUGAAUGAAGGGUUUAUACACUCAGCUUAAUUAAAAUUAUAAUAAAUACGUGGCCAGGAAUAUGCAUGCAAAGUUUAGGAAAUUGUAUACCUCAAUAUGUUCAGGUAAUGAAAAAGUUUAUUGGGUAGAGGCCGUAACACAGCGGGAGGUUUAUGAGACUCAGAACCUUUUCCUGGGUUCAAAUCCUUUCUGAAAUAAUUGAUAUAAAUGUAGAUCAUUUUAUUAUCUUGAACUGCUUAUUUAUACUUACUAUUAAUAAAAUACUAAUUUCAUUGUAAGUAUAAUAAUGUGCAAUAAGUAUGUACAAGUACAGAAUAAAACUGGUUACAUAUUGCA